CUUAUAUUUACACCUCGUUCGGACUAACUUGGUAAAUUUUUAGUAGUUUCACAGGUAUAUAUAAAUAAACAAAACAUGCUGAAAUUAUCAGUAAACAAUUGUACUCAUCCAGUCAACCGUUAAAAUGUUUUUCAAAACCGUUAUUUUCUUCGCUAUCGUAGCUGUAUCCUUGGCUGUGCCAGCACCAGAAGCCAAACCUGAUCCAAAAUCCAAGCCUGAUUUCUUGGUAGAUGCUCCCGUAGUAGCGGCAGCUCCUGUAGCUUACACUGCUGCCUACAGCGCUCCUUUAACUUAUGCCGCCGCUCCACUAGCCUACAGCGCGUAUCCAGCUUAUUCCGCUUAUGCUUCUCCUUAUGUAACUACCAUAUUAUAAGCUAUUAAAUGAGUUUUAAAUAAGCUA